CCUACGGGGGGCUGCAGUGGGGAAUAUUGGACAAUGGGGGCAACCCUGAUCCAGCCAUGCCGCGUGUGUGAAGAAGGCCCUCGGGUUGUAAAGCACUUUCAGUGAGGAAGAACGCCUGGUGGUUAAUACCCAUCAGGAAAGACAUCACUCACAGAAGAAGCACCGGCUAACUCCGUGCCAGCAGCCGCGGUAAUACGGAGGGUGCGAGCGUUAAUCGGAAUUACUGGGCGUAAAGCGCGCGUAGGUGGCUUGAUAAGCCGGUUGUGAAAGCCCCGGGCUCAACCUGGGAACGGCAUCCGGAACUGUCAAGCUAGAGUGCAGGAGAGGAAGGUAGAAUUCCCGGUGUAGCGGUGAAAUGCGUAGAGAGCGGGAGGAAUACCAGUGGCGAAGGCGGCCUUCUGGACUGACACUGACACUGAGGUGCGAAAGCGUGGGUAGCAAACAGGAUUAGAUACCCCGGUAGUC
rnacentral:rRNA from 1 species